GUCAUUACUGUAGUCAUAGUUUUUACAGUAGGAGCAGCUUGCUUCGCCAUAUGAAACGACAUCUUAUAACUAGAGAAAGAUAUCGAUGUGGUGUGUGCUCAAGAACAUACAGUCGGCGAGAUAAUCUGAAAAGACAUAUGGAGGAAACUCACCCUAAUGAAACUUCACACUGGACAGUGCAACACCCAUUGUGACUGCCAAAAUAUUUAUCUCAGAAACACCAUACUAUGAAGCUUGUGACAAGAAGAUAAUGCAUUACUAGCAGGCCUCCCGGUGAAACAUUUAGUGUCAAAAUAGGCUAAAACUUUUAGAUUUGAAGGUAAACCUAUAUUGUUUAAACAUUUUGUCACCAAAUUUUCAAUACUGUAGUCAUGAUAUUAUCAUAAUUAUCUAAUACAGAUAUAUGGAAAUAUAAUUGUUUUGCAACAAAUUUUAUGUGAAAGAGUAAACCAGACUUCAUUAUCAGUAGUGUCAAAACUUUCAAUAUAAAUUUUCUGUCAUCACAAAGUAAUGCAAAUUUUACAGAUGGGUAUAGAAAUUCACAUUUAUUAUCAGUAAAAUAUAAUUUGUAUAUAUCCAAAUCUAUAUAUUUGGGUUUGUCAAGUCACAAUUUAUUCCUUAUUUUUAGAAAGGGGGAAACUUUUUUGAAAAUUUAUUUUUGCAGUGACCCACUGGGAGGCCUGUACUAGUGUUGCCCAAGAUUAGGAAAGAUGAGUAACACUACAGCUGUGAAAAAGUUUGGAUCUUUUUAUAAAUAUGCUUUUUGAUUGUUUUAUUCUAUCUUUUUGAAAAUUACUUAUCAUUGGUAGAUAUCUUUCAUCAUGGCUUGUUUAAUUUUACAAUUAGGUAUGAAAUAAGGAACAUUUACUGAAAAAUUCAUUGGAGACAAGUAAACUAAACAUUAAAGGCUUAGAAUGUCCUCAUUAGAAUGUUGAACUAUAAAGGACCUUUGUUCAGUUUCUGGACUUAGGAUUAACAAAGUACCAAAACUUGUAGUGUUGACACAAUGUUAAUGAUUAUUUUUUCCUUUUAAAAUAUAAAGAAGAAGAAAAGGUUUGAUCUACAAGCAAUUCUGAAUGAAAGUGCUUGUAUAAGAGCCAUUUAUUUUGCUGAAAAGUUUUUAUGUUGUGAUAUGCAUAACAAAAUGCAAGUUUUCAUAUUACAUUUUUAAUAAAUCUAGUCAUUGGAAUCCUGUA